UACUGCCUACGGGGCGCAGCAGUAGGGAAUUUUCGUCAAUGGGCGCAAGCCUGAACGAGCAAUGCCGCGUGAACGAGGAAGGUCUUCGGAUCGUAAAGUUCUGUUGAAGGGGAAAAAGAGCGGAGAGAGGAAAUGGUCUCCGAUUGAUAUUACCCUUCGAGGAAGUCACGGCUAACUACGUGCCAGCAGCCGCGGUAAUACGUAGGUGGCGAGCGUUAUCCGGAAUGAUUGGGCGUAAAGGGAACGCAGGCGGUCUUUUAAGUCUGAUGUGAAAGCCUUCGGCUUAACCGGAGUAGUGCAUUGGG
rnacentral:rRNA from 1 species